rnacentral:tRNA from 1 species
AAGAUUUUAAGUUAAUAAUAGACUAUAGACCUUCAAAGUCUAAAGAGAAUUAAAAGUAUUCAAAUCUUG